CACGUAGGGGGCAAGCGUUGUCCGGAUUUAUUAGGCGUAAAGAGCUCGUAGGCGGCUUAGUAAGUCGGGUGUGAAACCUCCAGGCUCAACCUGGAGACGCCACCCGAUACUGCUGUGGCUAGAGUCCGGUAGGGGAGCGUGGAAUUCCUGGUGUAGCGGUGAAAUGCGCAGAUAUCAGGAGGAACACCGGUGGCGAAGGCGGGUCUCUGGGCCGAUACUGACGCUGAGGAGCGAAAGCGUGGGGAGCGAACAGG
rnacentral:rRNA from 1 species